AUGGGUAAAUUCCUUGUUGCUGCUAUCCUGCUAUCUCUUGUCUACCAUGGAACCGAGUUGGCCAGAGCGUGGGAUGAUAAAGAUUUCUUCAGCUACUGUCCACCAUCAAAGUGCAGCAAACAUGGGCCAGAAAUCAGGUUUCCUCUUCGACUUGAAUCCAGCAAUACAUCAUCAUCAUGCGGUACACCAUGCAUAAAGUUAGCAUGCUCUGGCCAGGACACCAUCCUAGCUCACCCAGGCCUUGGCCGAUGCAAGGUGACUGCCAUAGAUUACAGCAGUGGUGGCAUGUAUGUCACCCCGCUUGUAUACUCUGUAUCUCCAUGUCUGCUCCAGAAACUCUUCUCCAAAAGCAUACCGGUUGAUGCUGCCUAUGCAGAGAACCAGGGCCCAUGUCAGAACAUGUUUUUUGAGUACGAUGCCAUCCUAAUAUGUUGUACGAGAGAGUUCACGCCAAGGCUCAUCGAUGUGGCUAGCCCAGUCUCCUGCCUUAGCAACACAACUCACUUUUCAUACCUAGUGGAUGCUUCCCGACUCAUUUAUGUUCUUCCAUUGGACUGCAAGGCAUGCUCAGAUGGCGUCGUCUCGAUACCCACUUCCUUCGGACCAUUCUUCAACGGUUCCCUUAGUUUUGCAGAGAUACUGCUUGAAUGGACGUAUCCAAGGUUUAAGGUAGACACGGGCGGCAUCGCUUGCCAAAUAUGUGAACGGCAAGGGGGACAGUGUGCAUUCAGCUUGCAAAGGAAUCAAACAUUCUGCAUGCAUCAUGGUUCGCAUAUCAAAGUCAUUGCAGCAACAUCAUCGGUGGCCGCAAUUGUUGUUCUUUUGUUGACAGUGGCCACUGCACUUUAUCUUUCAUUGAAGACAAGAUAUAAUGAAGAGAUACAUUUGAAGGUCGAAAUGUUUCUCAAAACAUAUGGCACGUCAAAACCCACAAGGUACACUUUCUCUGAAGUUAAAAAGAUUGCAAUACGGUUUAAGGAAAAGGUAGGGCAAGGAGGAUUUGGAAGCGUAUAUAAAGGCGGGCUACCAAAUGGAGUGCCUGUGGCAGUCAAGAUGCUAGAGAGCUCUACAGGUGAGGGAGAGGAAUUCAUCAAUGAAGUUGCAACCAUUGGACUGAUCCACCAUGCAAAUAUCGUCCGUCUCUUGGGCUUUUGCUCCGAAGGAAGAAGACGGGCUCUGAUUUAUGAAUUCAUGCCUAACGAGUCUCUGGAGAAAUACAUAUUUCCACAAGUUUCUAAUACUUCUCGACAACCCCUAGCAACCAACAAAAUGCUAGAUAUUGCUUUAGGCAUUGCCCGAGGAAUGGAAUACCUUCAUCAAGGGUGCAACCAGCGCAUUCUCCACUUUGACAUCAAGCCACACAACAUAUUGCUGGACUACAACUUCAACCCGAAGAUCUCAGACUUUGGCCUUGCCAAGCUAUGUGCAAGGGACCAGAGCAUCGUUACCUUAACUGCAGCAAGAGGCACCAUGGGAUACAUUGCACCAGAGCUAUACUCUCGAAACUUUGGAGGGGUGUCUUACAAGUCAGACGUGUACAGUUUCGGCAUGCUGGUGUUGGAAAUGGUGAGCGGACGGAGGAACUCAGACCCAAGUGUUGAGUACCAUGACGAGGUAUAUCUCCCGGAGUGGGUAUACGAGAGAGUAAUUAGUGGGCAUGAAUGGGAGCUUACUUUGGAAAUGACAGCAGAAGACAAAGAAAAGAUGAGGCAGCUGACCGUUGUGGCCCUGUGGUGCAUCCAGUGGAACCCGAAGAAUCGGCCAUCAAUGACAAAGGUGGUAAACAUGUUAACGGGGAGGUUGCACAACCUGCAGAUUCCCCCUAAGCCCUUUGUAUCGUCUGAAAAUCAUCCUAGAACAUAA
rnacentral:rRNA from 1 species